UCCAAGGUGUUCCUGUCCUUUAGAGUGC
rnacentral:piRNA from 1 species